rnacentral:tRNA from 1 species
CCCGACCUCUGCCUGGCCACGGCUCGGCCGAGCUGGCCGAGAGGUCGACCCGAGGACACCGCCCUCAGCCUGACCUGAGGCCGCGGCGAGGGUAGCUGCGCGCCCUGGGUUCCCAACCAUCGCUGCCGCCCGAUGGUCACACCGGUCACACCGCUCGGCCGCCCUCCCCCUGCAGUGGGCAUUCCUUUCCAUCCAGGCAGCAGAUGCAGAGGUGAGGGGUUGCCCCUCUGAUCCAGAGUUCAGAAAGACCCCAGCUUACCUCGGGGCCCCCUCCUCCUGCCCACCUCUCCUCCUGCCCAUCUCUUGCAAGGACACCAUUUACCAUGUUAGGAGCUGCCCUGUAAAGGGUCGCACAUGGAAAGGAACCGUCCAACCCAAAGCCAGAGGGAACUGAGGCCCGCCAACAGUUAGGGAGUUUGGAAGCCGAUUCUCCUCUAAUGAAGCCUUCAGAUAACUGGGUCCCUGGCCGACAGCAUGACCACAGCUUUGGAAAAGACCCGGGACUCGAGGUUCCCAGCUCAGCUCUGCCUGGAUUCCCUAGGGGGAGAACUGGGAUGGUCAACAGCUGUCUCUCUGAGCCACUCAGAGGUAAUCUCUUAGGAACAGUAGAUAACACCGUCACAGCUCUUCUUCUAUGACUUGGUGAAUUAAAAUAGAAAGUCAGUUGUCAAACACCAUAUUGAUUAGAAUUACAGUAACUGCUAUUACAAUUGAAGCCCAAAUAUCAAUACCUUACCACAAUAUAAGUUUUUUCUCAUAAUAAUCCAUUGCUGGUGGUCUUAGGUGAGCAACCGCUCUCCUCCAAAUUUUGGUUUAGAGACCCGGAGGUCUCCCAUCUUUCAGCUUUGUCAUUAUAUAAGAUAGAUUGUUCUCCCAGUGGGACAGAACAUUCCUGUCUUCAGUAACCAGGUCACUUCUAUUCCCAGGAAAGAAAGUUUAUAGCCACACCUAGAAGCAAGUGUGGGCAGGGAACAGGAUAUGCCAGGCAGUCACAACCCGGAGCCAACUCCGGACAACAGAAAAGGAAGCACAGACUUGUGAUCCUCUAGUCACAUCAUAGAUACCCUUAGCAAAACCCACCUGUGACCUGGGGACCUCCAUGCAUCUGGUGUCAGGUACCCUCCAGUAAGGACUGCUCCACAAGCCCUCCCCAAGUGCCAAGCCCCCGGCCAGUGACUCCUGAGCACGGGUGAGACCGAGUGCCCUGCCCUGGAGUAGUCAUGUUCUCCUGCUGGGUUGGAACCCAGUGCCUCACACAUGCUCAAUGGAGGGCAAAUACCAGAUUUAUCAUGACCACUCCACCAUCUUCUUGCAGUUACCUGCCACCCUGUCAUCCAGCUGCUGACUCAAAAGCAGCGUCUCACAGGAAGGGGAGACUCCAUGUCCGAGGAGGAGACUGUGCCUCACAUGCUGGUGCUCCUCAGCCCCAGGAUGGACGGGGAGGCUGCUGGCCUCGCUGCAACUGACAUUCAGGGCUGACAUGGCCCCUCCAGCCUGGUAAAGCCUUCAAGUCCCUCAGGUCCUUGAUAUUGUGCAGAGUAAUUUAUAACUUUAAAUACACUUUGAGAAAUGAUCCUACAUUUCUGAUGGUAUGACUGGUAAAGGAUAGUAAAUAAGGAUAGUAGAUAUAUCUGGAUAUUAAUUUUUUUCUGUAUUCCACAUUAUAGGUCAUAUUGAAUUCUGGUUUUGGGCUACCAUCCCAGCAAUAUUGUUGAGGGACAAUUAAGUUUUCAGUCAAAACGGGAGAAGGUAAGAAUUAACUAGUAGGUUUCUUAAGGAUGGGGAGGGUCAAAGUUUUCUAAGAUCCUCGAGUCAUUUUUUUUAAUACCUUUUAGUUGUAGAUGGACAUAAUACCUUUACUUACUCAUCUUUGUGUGGUGCUGAGGAUGGAACCCAGGGCCCCACACAUGCUAGGUGAGCACUCUGCCACUGAGCUACACCCCAGCCCCUGAAGUCGUUCUUGAUAGCCUUAUUGCAUGACAUAAUGGAGAUGGCACUGGGAAUCCAUCAUCAUAGCUCAGCAGCCAAAGGCACCUGCUGACUGGUCUGGUUUUCAGAGGGAAGCCAUGGUUGGAAACAGAGACGUUUCCCAGCAUAGACAUAAAGGUCUGGCUUCAGUUUCUUAUGGUCAGAAUUUCAAGCAGCCUUGAGCUGUGACUUUUAAUUAUAUGAUUUCAUUAUAAAACAAGUUAUCACAACAAUUUUGGAAGUAGCAUCCCUCACAUCACUUUCAGUUUUGGGUAGGUGCCUUUCAGUCCCUAAUGCACAAUGAACUUAUGAUCCUGCUCUGUAGAAAUAUCCUUUCCCACUCAUGCAUGGUAGCACAUGCAUGAAUCCCGGGGACUAAGGAGACAGAGACUGAAGGAUCGCAAGUUCAAGACCAGCUGGGCAACUUAGUGAGACCCUUAGUGACUUAGCAAGACCCUGUCUCAAAACACAAAGGCCUGGGGAUGCAGCUGUGUAUUCCAGCUACUCAGGGCUGAGACAGGAGGAUCACAAGUUCAGGACCAAUUUCUGUCUCUUGAUCUACACUCUGCUUCUUUAUAGCCUGAUAAUCAUUCUCUAUUAUCAGCUUCUGUAUUAUCUAGCUUUCUUUGAGAACAAUAGAACCUGAAUUUAAUGUAAAGUUAGAAAUUAAAUAUUAGAAGAAUACAAAUGGCUUAAAGAUUUAAAGAAGUAAAAAACCAGGGUGUGAGAAGGCAGGGCCCCAGUG